rnacentral:rRNA from 1 species
UAGGGAAUUUUCCGCAAUGGGCGAAAGCCUGACGGAGCAACGCCGCGAGAGUGAUGAAGGCCUUCGGAUCGUAAAACUCUGUUAUUAGGGAAGCACAAAUGUGUAAGUAACUAUGCACGUCUUGACGGUACCUAAUCAGAAAGCCACGGCUAACUACGUGCCAGCAGCCGCGGUAAUACGUAGGUGGCAAACGUAAUCCGGAAAUAAUGGGCGUAAAGCGCGCGUAGGCGGUUUUUUAAGUCUGAUGUGAAAGCCCACGGCUCACCCGUGGAGGGUCAUUGGAAACUGGAAAACUUGAGGGCAGAAGAGGAAAGUGGAAUUCCAUGUGUAGCGGUGAAAUGCGCAGAGAUAUGGAGGAACACCAGUGGCGAAGGCGACUUUCUGGUCUGUAACUGACGCUGAUGUGCGAAAGCGUGUGGAUCAAACAGG